AGCGAACGCUGGCGGCAGGCCUAACACAUGCAAGUCGAACGAACUCUUCGGAGUUAGUGGCGGACGGGUGAGUAACACGUGGGAACGUGCCUUUUGGUUCGGAAUAACUCAGGGAAACUUGUGCUAAUACCGAAUGUGCCCUUCGGGGGAAAGAUUUAUCGCCAUUAGAGCGGCCCGCGUCUGAUUAGCUAGUUGGUGAGGUAACGGCUCACCAAGGCGACGAUCAGUAGCUGGUCUGAGAGGAUGACCAGCCACACUGGGACUGAGACACGGCCCAGACUCCUACGGGAGGCAGCAGUGGGGAAUCUUGCGCAAUGGGCGAAAGUCUGACGCAGCCAUGCCGCGUGAAUGAUGAAGGUCUUAGGAUUGUAAAAUUCUUUCACCGGGGACGAUAAUGACGGUACCCGGAGAAGAAGCCCCGGCUAACUUCGUG
rnacentral:rRNA from 1 species